rnacentral:lncRNA from 1 species
GUAACGCCCACGAUGCGGCUAUAUCUCCCACGUGUCGAGGCACGACUUAGAGGCAUAACCGCAUUGUGGUUUGUCGCAAGAAGGGUCAUCUUCACACAAUCCCAUGUAAUGAACAAGAAUGGGAUAAAGAGUUGGCUUACAAUCGCCACUUCACAUAAUACAUAAAUAAAACAUACAUCAUUCAGAGUACACACAUAGACCGACUACGGUCAAAACCAAAAGAAAAGAAGAUAACCCAACUGCUAGAUUCCUGAUCGUCCCAACUGGGCACCACUACUGAUCAAAAUGAAAAGAAACAACACAACGAACAAGAUCUUCAUCGAGCUCCCACUUGAGCUCGGUUGCGUCACCUGCACUGGUAUCAUCGGCACCUGCAACUGUUUUGGAAGUAUCUGUGAGUCACGAGGACUCAGCAAUCUCACACCCGCGAGAUCAAGACUAUUUAAGCUUAAAGGAAAGGAUGGGGUAAUGAGGUGGAGCUGCAGCAAGCACUAAGCUUAUAUGGUGGCUAACAUACGCAAAAGAGAGCGAGAAGAGAAGCAACGGAACGGUCGUGAACUAGCAAUGAUCAAGAAGUGAUCCUGAACUCCUACUUACGUCAAACAUAACCCAGAAACCGUGUUCACUUCCCGGACUCCGCCGAGAAGAGACCAUCACGGCUACACACGCGGUUGAUGCGUUUUAAUUAGGGUCAAGUGUCAAGUUCUCUACAACCGGAUAUUAACAAAUUCCCAUCUGCCACAUAACCGCGGGCAGAGCUUUCGAAAGAUAAUACCCUGCAGGGGUGUCCCAACUUAGCCCGUCAUAAGCUCUCACGGUCAACGAAGGAUAAACCUUCUCCCGGAAAGACCCGAUCAGUCUCGGAAUCCCGGUUUACAAGACAUUUCGACAAUGGUAAAACAAGACCAGCAAAGCCGCCCGAUGCGCCGACAAAUCCUGAUAGGAGCUGCACAUAUCUCAUUCUCAGGGCACACCGGAUGAGACAUCCUACGAGUAAAACCAGACCUCGAGUUUCCAUGAGGGGGCCCCGCAGUCUACUCAGUUCGGACCAACACUCGAAGGAGCACUGGCCCGGGGGGGGUUAAAAUAAGAUGACCCUCGGGCUCGCGAAAACUCGGGGGAAAGGCUUACGUGGCAAAUGGUAAAACAAGGUUGGGCCUUGCUGGAGGAGUUUUAUUCAAGGCGAACUGUCAAGGGGCUCCCAUAAAUCACCCAACCGCAUAAGGAACGCAAACUCAAGGAACAUAAUACCGGUAUGACAGAAAACUAGGGCGGCAAGAGUGGAACAAAACACCAGGCAUAAGGCCGAGCCUUCCACCCUUUACCGAAUAUAUAGAUGCAUUAAUUAAAUAAGAGAUAUUGUGAUAUCCCAACAUAUCCAUGUUCCAACAUGGAACAAACUUCAACUUCACCUGCAACUAGCAACGCUAUAAGAAGGGCUGAGCAAAAGCGGUAACUUAGCCAAACAACGGUUUGCUAGGAAAGGAUGGUUAGAGGCUGACAUGGCAAUAUGGGAGGCAUGAUAUAGCAAGUGGUAGGUAGCGCAGCAUGGCAAUAGAGCGAACACUACCAAAGCAAAGAUAGAAGUGAUUUCGAGGGGUGGUCAUCUUGCCUGAGAUCCCGCUAGGAGGAAGAGCGAGUCCAUGAAGAAGACAAACGGAUGUAGUCGAACGAAUCCUCACAACUCCGGAACGAAACCGAAGCUAACGAGAGAAGCAACCCGGAAAGAAACAAACAACAUAGUAAACAACCAUCACGUACACAUGGCAUGAUGCAAAAACAAACAUGAUGCAUGUCCGGUUUAAAAAGGCAUGGCAUGGCAAAGUGCACAAACGAAACUACAAGUUAAAUGGAGCUCAAUAUGCAACGAGUUGCAUAUUGACGAAACACCACAUUCCAAACAUUUAGUUCGCUCUUGUUUAUGCACCCAGCAAUAUUAAAUGUUAAUAAACAUGGCAAGGGGCGAAGCAUAUGGAAACUACCUAUUUAGGCAAGUUUACAUGAGGCCGGAACAACAAACAACAAUUCCGGAAAAUCCUCAUAUGCAUAUUUCGAAUUUGCUACUGUUCUGCCCUAAACACAAUUUUAAUGUUGUUAAACAGCAAAAUAAAGUGCACCAUGUUAAACUAGGCAUUUUUCUACCCCAUUUACAUAUAACGUUUAUUAAAAUCCGAGUUACGGUUAUUUAGCUAUGAAAUAAAUCAUUUUAACAUGGCAUUCGAGCAAAUUAAAUAAACAUCACUUUAAACAUAUUAAACAUGGGUGCAAGCAGCAUAUUAUUAAACUACACAAAUUUCUGAGCAUUUUACAUAUUUAGAUUAUUUUAAUCCGAUGCACGGUUGUGAAGUUAUUAAAUGCAUGAAGUGCAAGGGUUUUCCUGUAAAACUGUAAUUCCUGGAAUAAUCCUAAAAUCGCAGAUCUGGGGGAAAAACUACUCGGGCCGAAACUGCACUUGGGCCAAAAGGAACAGGAGCUGGGGGGCAGCUCACCUUGUGGGCCUUGGCCCAGGUCGGUGAAGCAGCAGGCUAGCGGGAAGCUGGACUUGGCGCGGCGCUGGGCCUCGCGGGCAGAUCAAAGCGAGGCAGGGCGUGGUCAACACGCAGCCGACGCGCGGUCGAGCAGAGGAGGCUUCGCGUGGCCGACGUGGCUGGUGACGUGGUCAACGCGCAGGCAGAGGAGGCGCAUGGGGCAGCAGCGACGGGGUAGAGCGCUCGAACUCGAGCUCCCGAACAAAGACGAACGCGGCGGCGGGCGCAUGCAAGAUCCGGCGACGCGGAUCCUGUCCAAGACAGGCGCGGGAGAUGAGAUCCGAUGCGAGGAAGUGGAUUCGGCCAGGGACGACACCUUGGCGAAGCAGGGGAGGUCCGGGACAAGCUGUACGCGGCCUCCGGCAGCGGGGAUGGGGCCCUGCCGGUGGGAUCCGGCCGGGAACGGGCAAGGGCGACGAAGGUCGGCAGGGUCUGGUGGUGGAGAUGAGGCCCCGACACUAGCGCGAUGCAGCAGCGGGGUUCGGACGGCCAUGGCAGGACUCCUGCUUCUGUUGGACCAUGAGAGGGAAAACGAGGUCAGGAGGGGGAGAGAGAGCGGAGGUGCGGCAAGAAGGGAAGGAGGGCGACGUAGCUUAGCUGCUGCUGGUGGUGGUAGACGGUGGGGACGGCACGAGGAGGGGAACGGCGGGGAGCUUGAUGCAGCGGCCAUGGUGGUCUUCUGUGAGCGAAAACAGAGAGAGGGAGGGGGAGAUCGUGAGAAAGAGAGGUAGAGAAGCAGGAGGGGAAAAUAGCGGGGUUGUCGGGGCACUCAUCUGCUGGUGGUACUCUUCGGCGGAGGGAGCUCCGGAGGUCGGCCGGCGACGGGUGAGACGAGGUGAGGAGGAGGCGCUCGGGACAGGAGCUGGCUGCGGGAGGAGCGGGAGAGGAGGAGCUCCUCUGGUUGGCCGGGUGGAUCGAGGGGAGGCCUCGGGUGCCAGUUGGUUAGGAGAGAGGAUCGGGAGGGAUCCCGAUGUGGAGUGGCGGCGGCCGAAAGGGAAUGAUGGGACAAGCCCCUAGGAUCUAGGGUUAGACUGAUAUUUAUAUCAGAUGAAUUUAGGUUAGGGGAUACCUCAUCCCUACGAUCAUAAUCGAACGGCUGAGAAAAAUAGGUAGGGAGUCCAAAUAACAAAACGGAGAUAUUUUAUAGAUGUUAGGGGAUGAUCCGGACCCAACGGUAACAACAAACCGGGUCGGGUACGGGACAACUUUCGGACGCGCGCGAGGGGGUGGGUGGUUGACGAGAGAGGUUAGUUGGUUUGACAAGAGGGAACCGAAAACACGGUUGGUCUCGGAACGGUCAACGAAGACAAGGGGGAACGCGGCAACUACUAAUGAAUGCAAAUUUUUAAAACAUGACGGCAACGAAGUGCCGAUGCAAUGCAAAUGAUGCGAUGAUGAAUGCAACACACAAAUAAAACUCAACUGACUCGCAAAAACAAGGAAGGCAAUCGAAGCGUCGGUCUCGGGGCGUUACAACACUCCACCACUACAAGAGGAUCUCGUCCCGAGAUCUAGGAUGGCACCGGAGAAAAACGGAAGAGGAAGAGAAAAGGUAAAGCUAAGUUGCUUCUUUGACAAACGAGUGAAACCAAAGAACCUUGAGAGGUCGCAAAGCUUGAAGAAAUGACACGACAGAGGUGAACAAAAUUGAGAAGACUCCGGUAGAAAAGAGAGACAAGGAACACCAUGAGAACCUUGAGGUUAAGUGACACAAUAGAUAUUUAAACCACUUCGGUUAAAACAAGAUAGAGAAGGAAUAAGAAUGAUAUAAUUUGGGCAGCACUCCGACUGUAAAUGGAAGGAAUUGAACAUGAUCUUGACAAGAUGAGAGGAUACUCGAUGAAAUUACCAACACAUUCCCUCCGGAACUAAUGAAAGAAUGACACAAGGGGUAAGAAAGAUUUCAGACAGCACUCCGGUUGAGGAAGGAGACAAAACUUGAUAAGAUGAGAGAACUCGAAUGAAAACACGACACUCCGGCUAAACGGAUAAGAAAGGAAAAAUUACAUGAUCUUGACAAAACAAGAUGAUUGGUCGAAGAGAGCAACAUCACAAUGCCUCCGGGACGAACGAAUAGAAGAUAGAUCGUCGGAAUAAGAUAACGGAGAAGAAAAUGACAACUUCUGCCACAAAUGAGCUUGGAAAGCAUCCUUCCAAGAAGGUUAUAACGGAGUUGUUGGAAAAAAACCAACAACAAAAGGAUAUGAUCCUCAUGGGCUUAUGGAGACAUCUCAAAACAUGAGGUGAAAAUUUUGCCACUAACGAAAACAAUUGCUUGCUUGAGAUCAACGAAGAGAUGAAAUCUUCUCUCGCCGAGAGGAUAGGAGAAAACUUGGAUCAUUGAUAAGCACCAUAAUAGCAACAUUCCUUAGGGAAGGCUUUAGGUGAAACAUGACACAAGAUAGAUCCAACGAAGAGAUUGGUGGAUUUAAAAUAUCUCAUUCUUGACAACAUAUGAAUCAUGAAACGCGAACUCAAAUUGUCAAGAAUGACAUAACACCACCUCAAAAGAUAAGAGAAAGAAUUGCACUUCGGAAUGCAAGAUGAAGAAUACUUGAACUCCUCAAAACAAGACAUGUGUUGAACACCAUGUUAAUUUUUUGAGUAUAGCCUGGCGGAUCAUAACUUCAAGAGAAAUCUUGAAGAACAAUCGAAAAAUGAAAGGAAUCCUUGACGAACCACCAUGUAGAGCCUCCAUGAAGAACUCCGGUAAUAAAAGAAUGAUCAAACGAAAUGGAAAGUUGAAAAGAACUCCGGGAGAAGCCUUGCAAUGAUUUAGAUGGAGCUUUGAAAUGAUAUAAUUGAAAUAACUUGGAGCUCCGGAAAGAAAGAUGAACAAUUAAAUCAAGAAUUUGAUAUCAUGAACGAACUCCGGAAGAAGGAAUUAAUCACUUGGAGGAAACAAGAAUAAGAAUUACAUUAUGCUUAGCCUUCACCAAUUUAGAUUGAUGACAAGCAACGGUUGCAGGUGCUGACGAUGCCAGUGCAGAUGAUGGGAUCGAUCUCAAGUGGGAGUUCGAUGAGGAACGUUGUCGAUACUAUGUGUCUUUUCCGGAUGAUCAGUAGUGGAGCCCAGUUGGGACGAUCGGGGAUCUAGCAUUUGGGGUUAUCUUAUUUUCAUUUGGAUCUUGACCGUAGUCGGUCUAUGUGUGUAUUUUGGAUGAUGUAUGGAUUAUAUUUAUGUAUUGUGUGAAGUGGCGAUUGUAAGCCAACUCUUUAUCCCAUUCUUGUUCAUUACAUGGGAUUGUGUGAAGAUGACCCUUCUUGCGACAAAACCACAAUGCAGUUAUGCCUCUAAGUCAUGCCUCGACACGUGGGAGAUAUAGCCGCAUCGUGGGCGUUACAAGGGGGUCCCGAACUAUGCGUCUAGGGUCGAUGGUUAUAGGAGACAGGGGACACAAUGUUUACCCAGGUUCGGACCCUCUCUAUGGAGGUAAUACCCUACUUCCUGCUUGAUUGAUCUUGAUGAAUAUGAGUGUUACAAGAGUUGAUCUACCACGAGAUCGUAAUGGCUAAACCCUAGAAGUCUAGCCUAUAUGACUAUGGUAAUGAGUAUAUGCUUUCCGGACUACACCCUCCGGUUUAUAUAGACACCGGGGGGAUCUAGGGUUACAUAGAGUCGGUUACAUAAGAAGGAAUCUUCAUAGUUGAUCGUCAAGCUUGCCUUCCACGCCAAGGAGAGUCCAAUCCGAACACGGGUACAGUCUUCGGCCUUCAUGUCUUCACAACCCAUCAGUCCGGCCCAUGGAUAGCAGGCCGGAUGCCCGAGGACCCCUUAGUCCAGGACUCCCUCAGUAGCCCCUGAACCUGGCUUCAAUGACAAGGAGUCAGGCGCGCAGAUUGUCUUCGGCAUUGCAAGGCGGGUUCCCUUCUAUCCGAACUCGAAGAUAAUCUUUGGAUGUGAUGAUAGUAUCCGGACCUGCCACAUCAUAUACAAACGCAGAGAUAAUAUAACUUUUUGUAGCACGACAUUACGUCUGACCGGUCAUAACUUCGAACCGUUUUCGCGUUCACCGCCCCACGUUCCAAGACGCGGUUGCCAUUGGCACGUCUUGUCAAAGCAAAGAUCGUGUCCCCUUAUCGCGGGAUUCUCAUCAAUGCGGGCAUGGGUAACCCAACCGUGCCAUUUACACAGGCCUUGGGAAUAGGCGAGCUUUCAGGGCGAGUGGGGAGGCGCUUGAUAUUCGCGGCCUUUAUAAGGGGAUAAGGAUUCCCUUCCUUCACCCACACCCUUUCUCUCCUUCUGUCCUUCCGUCCUUGAGCUCCAGCGCCCAAGCUUUAGCUUUUCCUCGCUCAAGAAAGCACUCCAAACAUGUCCGGAUCCGGAGCUGGAGGCAAGUGGAUGGCCUCCUCUGUUAAGAAGAAGGACAUCACGGAGCUCCAGGAGGCCGGAUAUCUGGCCAAGGAGAUCGCUCACCGACUCCCGGCCAAAGGGCAAAUAGUCCCCACUCCAGAGCCCCGUGAGAGGGUUGUGUUUUUCACACACUUCGUCCGCGGGCUGGGAUUCCCUCUCCACCCGUUCGUCCGCGGACUGAUGUUUUACUAUGGGCUGGACUUUCACGACCUAGCCCCCAAUUUCAUUCUCAACAUCACGUCAUUCAUUGUCGUGUGCGAGGCCUUCCUCCGCAUCCCACCUCAUUUCGGCCUAUGGCUGAAAACCUUUAAUGUGAAGCCGAAAGCGGUGAGUGGCCAACAAGCAUAGUGCGGAGGCGCCAUGGUGGGUAAGAUGCCCAAUGUUACCUGGCCCGAAGGCUCCUUUGAGGAAACGGGGAAGGGGUGGCAAUCGGGGUGGUUCUACAUCACCGAGCCUCGCGACACUGACUGGGCGGCGGCCCCUGAAUUCCGAUCCGGAAUCCCGAUGCGGCUCACCUCUUGGCAAGAGAGGGGCCUAACCUGGGGUCCCUCGAGCGAGCUGACUGGGCUCCAGACGUGCAUCCAGAACAUGAUAGACAGGAAAAUCAAGCUCGUCAACGUGAUCCAGGUCAUGCUCAUUCGUCGGGUUCUUCCGUGCCAACGCCGGACUUGCUAUCUGUGGGAGUAUGAUCCGGCCAAGCACCAGACGCUACUGGAGCUCUUCGGCACGAGGCACGAAGACAUCUGGAAAGUGCUCUUCAAGGCCGGCGAGACACCACCGCCCACGACUGAGGAUCGCGGGCUCAACUUAAAACGCCAGGCUAAUUUGGUAAGUUGUUUCAUGUCUUCAAGGCAUACCUUUUACUAGCAUAUUUUGAGGAAAAAGCCUAAGCCUUCCUAUCCAUGUUUUCAGGCCUGGAUCGAGGUAGCAGGGGGGAUUAACUACCCAACUCCGCUGCCCGAAGACCCCGAAUUUCCAUUACUGAUGAAAAGCUGUUUCCAGCACCUUAUGAGGUGCCGGAGAAGACAACCAAGAAAGCGGCCAAAGGGGACCCAGAGGGGCCCUCGCCGAAAAGGCGCUCCGAACAUGAUGUCCAAAGACGAGACUCGCUCUUUGUCGGCCGAGGACGAUGACGAGGAGGAGGAAGAGGGAGACAACUCCCCACCCGAGGCGGGGAGGAAGAAGAGAACGACCCCCACAAAUUUGGAGGCGAAGGUGCCCAAGAGGGGGAAAGGCUUCCCCGCGGAUAACUCCGCGUGGGAUGUCGAUAGCAGUCCGGAGCGGCCUUCCCGGGCCAAGCCUCGGGCCGCAUCGUAAGUAUCAAAAAUCUUUAUGCACGACCGAACGUCCGUCCUUUCUGCCUUGCAAUGUUUGAAUCGUGUUAUUGCAGUCUGGCUCGGGACAACUCUCCGCUAUCUUCAUCAGAAGGUUCACUGGACCCAAAGGAGAGGGCCAGCAUGUCACCGCCGCCCGCUUACUCCCCUUCGGCCAAGGGUGAUGACAAGGAGGCAUCUCAAAGGGCCUCCUCGGACCGGGGGAAGGCUCCGGAGAUCAUCAGGGUGGUGCCCUAGGAUGACUCCCGGGCCGCCGGAUACAUGGGGGAAAAAGCCCCUACGGAGACGGACGGUGCGGGCCGAGUUCUACUCGACCCUCAGCCGGAUUCUAUUCUGGAGACCUAUACGGCUCCGGAGUCCGGCAAAUGGCCCUUCCCAAAAGGAGGGGGUGUGCUACCUAUGUCCUCUGUCCAACCGGAGGCGCCAGAUCAUCUACUGGAAGCGCUGCAAGGCGCCUCCAUUGUGGAUGAGCACCGUGCCCAUAUGGGUAUGGUGAUUAAAAGGGUUCAGUCCGCCAAAAACGGACUGACCGAAGCCUGCGCUAGCCUUCUAGCAAGCUUUGAGGUGAGUAAUGUAAUUGUAAGAAGAAUAUCACAGUGUAGACAGUAGCCCCUGAUGCUCUGUUCGGUGUCCGGAAAGAAAAGCCGAACAGAGGAUCAAAAUUAAUUUUCGCAGGAGUCUAACAUAAGGUGUCUAUGUGAAUAAGCAGGCCUCGUUGCGGGCUGCUACCACUCAAACCGCGGAGGUCUCCGAACUAAAGCAGAAACUGGAGCGGGCCGAGGAAGAGCUCGGCCUCGUGAAGAAGCAGCUGGAAGAUAGCCAAGGUAUGCAGUAACCUGCGUGUAUUAUUGAAGAAUAAAUGGUUCAAGCUAACUAAAGUGUCAUGAACUUUACUAGGGGCCACGACCGAGGUGGCGGCCCUCAAAAAGGCGUUAGCCGAGGACGAAGAAAAAGCGGCCAAGGAACAUGCCGCACGCGAGAAGCACGAGGCCAGGGUCAGCAAGAUUCAGCACGAGCUCCAGGACGCCGUCAAGAAGUACGAGUCCUUGGAGCGUGCUUCUAAGACACAAGAAUCCGAACUUGCUAAGUCCCACAAGAGCACGCAAGAUGCCCGAGCCGAAGCCCAGAGCACCCUCUGGGAAAUCUAGGCGGCCAAGAAGAUUGCGGCGGGUAAGGCUGUCACUAUGCAAGGCAAGUAUGCAAAGGGAACGGUCCUUAUACUUACCCGAACUUUGUGUUUUCUAGGGGCAUUUACAGAUCUGCCGCGCAACGUAUCGGAUGCUGCCGAGUUCUAUCGGGCCGAAGAAGGGAUGUCUACGGAGAAGCUGUUCUGGUCCCAAUACCUUGGACCAGAACAUCCGGUGCCCUUUAGCGACCAAUUGAAACAGAUGGUCGAGCUGCACAAGUUAGCUGAGCUAGCCAUGAAGGACCUGAUAGUCCGGCUGUGGCAUGUCGAGCCCGUGCCCGACAGCUACUUUGGACUUGUGCGUCGGCUUGUGAGUGCCUGUCCACGGCUUGAAGUCGUGAAGCGGUCGGUCUACAUUGAGGGUGCACGGAUGGCAUUCGCGCGCGUCAAGACGCACUGGGCGAAGAUGGAUGCCAAGAAGUUGAUGACCGAAGGACCACCUGAGGGCAAGGAGCAUCGGCGACCCGAGCUGUAUUUUGACGGUGUCCUGGAGGGAUCCCACCUUGUGGCGGAGCAAUGUGCGAAGGACGUGAUAUUCCCAUGAAAACAUUCGGGUUGUCCUGUAAUAUGAAACAAGAUUGGCAUGUAAUAUGAUGCUUGUGAUUAAAUUUCACCUCCUGUGCGGCCGUUUAUUAAAAUCUGAGGGUUGACCAAUCGUCGGCUUCUGACCCACGUAGAUAGUACGGGGGUGUUCGGGAUAAAUCUAAACACUCUUUACUCCACCUUCUGGUCCUUAAAGGAGGUGUUUAGCGCAACGAACAAGGCAAUCAGACUAUAGGGCCUUUAUUACCCUCACUUAGCCAUAGGAGUUUGACCAUGAAAAUUUCGGCGAAGCCCCUGGUGUUCGAAAGGCCGAACUAGGGGCGUUAUAUACGCCUAAUCGGAGAAAACUGAUUCCUCGCAUAAAGCGGAAAAAAUCUCUAGGGAUUUGAGACCUCUCGAACAGCUGACCGGCUCUCGCCACAUCAUGACACAGUUUUCAGCUUUCUCUACUGAGGUGCUCGUCCGGACGAACCGGGACACAAUCGCAGUAGUUCUCCCUUUACUACCUUAGCCGAUAUAGUGGAACAUAAGGUAGCAAACACAGGAGCCGGGUAACCCAACUAUUGACCAAAGACAUGAUUCAGAGCCGAUGCAUAUAACGCUAUAAGUUCGGGGUGUCGAACAGUACUGUAAAAGUGUUCGGACUUUUGUCACAGUAAUGCGGGGCGUGAUGAAGCCCCUGGCGCAGUAAUACAUACCAGAAUGUACGCGUGCAACGAGUGAUAAAUAAAAAGGAAAAAGGGGGAGAGUAAGUAAUAAACUAACGCUGCCCUUUAUAAUGUGAUUAAUACGUGGAGGCGUAUUUGUGCAUGUAAUAUGGUAAGCAAAAGAGGCUUUUUAACAUGCGAAAACCAAGUGCGAGCUGCGUGCGGGUAUGUAAAACAGGUAUAGCAAUCGUUAACGAGGGCCACCUGAGGGUUCCCUUGUGCGCCAAAGCUCCUUGCCUCCUUGGUGUGCCCAACAAACGGGUUGUUAGAAGAAACCUCGAAAACAGAGAAAGGAUCUGAAAGGGAAAAGAAAAGGUACGCGAAUCCUGGGGUCGGUCGAGCCGCACUGUGGAUCGCGAGCUAGCUAUGCCUCCGUCCAUGUCCAUGGGUUUUUAGGCGCGUAGUUAUGUACGCGUGGUACGAGUGCCACUCCUUUAUCGGGGCUGGGACGGAGGCCAAAUUGCCAAUCAAGCUCUUGAUGAGCCGAGCUGUCCUGUUGCAGUGUAGUCCGGACCCUCUUAACGAUGUCCAGGGGCUCGACAGCCGGAUUAUAGUUCUACUUGAGAAGGCCAUUCUGUACCUCUACUGCUAGGGCGGCUGUGUGCUCCUCAGUACAGAGGGAGCGUUCCGUGUUUCCAUUAACUGUUAUGACGCCGUGCGGACCGGGCAUCUUGAGCUUGAGAUAAGCAUAGUGUGACACCACGUUGAAUAUUGCAAACGCGGUUCGUCCGAGCAGUGCGUGGUAGCCGCUGCAGAAGGGGACGAUAUCGAAGAUUAGCUCUUCGCUUCGGAAGUUAUCCGGGGAACCGAAUACCACCACCGGCGUAAUUAAGCCCGUACAACGGGCCUCUACACCUGGUAUGACUCCUUUAAAGGUAGUCUUCGUGGGAUUAAUGCCCAUUUUGUGCACUGUAUCCUGAUAGAGCAGGUUGAGGCUGCUACCACCGUCCAUUAGGACUCCUGUUAGGUGAAAUCCGUCUAUGAUUGGGUCAAGGAAUAGUGCGGCCGAACCUCCAUGACGGACACUAGUUGGAUGAUCUCGACGAUCAAAGGUGAUCGGAAAUGACGACCACGGAUUGAAUUUUGGGGCGACUGGCCCUAUCGCAUAGACGUCCCUGAGUGCGCGCUUGUGCUCUCUUUUGGGUAUGUGUGUAGCAUAUAUCAUGUUCACCGUUUUGACUGGAGGGGGAAAUUUCUUCUGUUGUCCAGUGUUCGGCUGCCGGGGCUCUUCGUCGUCGUCCUCGCUUUGCGAUCCCAUUUCCUUGCUCUCAGUGUUUGACUUGCUGGCUUGCUUAAAAACCCGGCAAUCUCUGUUGGUAUGAUUGGCUUGUUUGUCUGGGGUGCCAUGUAUCUGCCACGGACGAUCGAGUAUGCGGUCCAAGCUGGAUUGUCCCUCGUUGUUCCUUUUAUAAGGCUUCUUCCGCUGGCCGGACUUGGAGCCACGGAAUCCGGCGUGAACUGCAGUGUCGUCGGUGUUAUCGCCAUUACUUGCCGGUGUUGUUCCUGGCCUCGAAGGGGCCUGCCUCGCUGGCUGUGUUUUUGCUAUGAGCCAGCCAGCUAUCCUCUCCCGCGCAAAAGCGGGUCAUGAGUGUUGUGAGGGCUGCCAUGGAUUUCGGCUUUUCUUGGCCGAGGUGGCGGGCGAGCCAUUCGUCACGGAUGCUGUGUUUGAAGGCUGCUAGGGCUUUGGCAUCCGGACAGUCAACGAUCUGGUUCUUUUUGGUUAGGAACCUAGUCCAGAAUUUUCUAGCUGAUUCUCCAGGUUGUUGGACUAUAUGACUUAAGUCAUCGGCAUCUGGUGGCCGGACAUAAGUACCUUGGAAGUUGUCAAGGAAAGCUUCUUCCAAGUCCUCUUAGCUGCCGAUGGAAUUUUCAGGCGGGCUAUUUAGCCAGUGUCUAGCCGGCCCUUUUAAAUUUAGUGGGAGGUACUUGAUGGCGUGGAGGUCGUCUCCUCGGGCCAUAUGAAUGUGGAGAAUAAAAUCCUCGAUCCAUACUGCGGGAUCGGUUGUUCCGUCGUAUGAUUCAAUAUUGACAGGCUUGAACCCCUCGGGGAAUUCAUGAUCCAGUACUUCGUCUGUGAAGCAGAGAGGGUGUGCGGCGCCUCUAUAUCGGGCCGCGUUGCGACGCACCUCCAAUGAAGUCCGUCUGCGUUUAUCGGUCCGGGCGUCCGAAUAGGUAGCCGUCAUCCCGAGUCGGGAAGCGUCCUCACGAUCCGUAGAUUGAUCUGGUGUGUCCUGCUCUACUGUCCAGGUCCUGCCGAAGGUCGUAUGUAUGGUCCCGAGCUGUUUUGUCUCUGUUUUUACGAGGCGGUGGGGCGGGCUGUUGUUCGGCCUGAGUUGCCGUUUUAUCCCGACCGCGAGGUGGUCGGUCCGCUGCACUAUCCCGACCACGUGGUGGUCGUUCCGCAUUGCGCGAGGGAGGUAUUGUCUCUGGUACCUUCUCGUCGAACUGAGGUAGCAGUCUGCGCUUCGGGUAACUCUUGGCUGGGUGCUUGAGGCCAUAUUCUUCGGCUGCCAGGACAUCAGUCCAGCAGUCAAUGAGUAGGUCUUGAUCGGCUUGAAGCUGCUGCUGCUUUUUCUUCAGGCUUCUUGCAGUAGCUAUUAGCUGGCGCUUGAAGCGCUCCUGCUCGAGGGGUGCCUCAGGCAUGAUGAAAUCCUCGCUGCAAAGGUUCUCCUCAUCCUCGGAGAGUGGACGACAACUAUCGUCAUCCGGGUCAUUGGGCAUGGCCUGUUUAUCAGGGUUAACUUGCCCGUUGUCUUGUUCCUCAUGUUCGGAUGUUGCUCCAAUAGGGUCUUCAUUGUUUUCGGCGUCGCCGGAGUACUAUUUUCUCCGGUGCCAGUGUUGCCAUUUUUUGAGCGACAUGGCUUAGAACGGUGUUUAGGGCGCCGGCGCUUGGACUGUGUCUUAGAAGGUUUAUUCGCAACUGAAUCUUCUUUGUCACCGUCGCUAGUGUUUUUAGGUGUGUCAACCAUGUACACAUCGUAUGAAGAGGUGGCCGUCCAACGUCCAGUGAAUAGUGGGUCUUGGCCUUGCUCCUUGUCGGCAUCGUCAUCCAUACUGUCGAUGUCUUCGGAGCCAUAAUCAAGCAGGUCGGUUAAGUCCUCGAUAGUGGCUAUGAAGUGGGUGGCGGGUGGGAAGCGAAAUUCCCCCUCAUCAGCUUCUAGUUCGAACCGGACAUAGUUCAGCUGUGAGUCCCCCGCCAAGGACAGGUUUUUAAUGAAUUUAGCACAUCGCCCAAGGGCGAGUGUUGGAGGACGUCUGCGGCGCUGAACCCGAAGAUCGAUGACCGAUCCAGCUCGGUGUCUGCAGGCGUACGUGGUUCGGAAUUCAUAGCCGGAAACGAGUCCGGAAUUCCGUUGACGCAGAUAUUCCCAGGUGUUGAGUCUGUGUGCAGCUCCGACGCCACGGACUCUAUGGCUUCAGAUGGUGCAAUCAGCUCCAGAUCUAAGGCCGUAGCAGUUACAGGAACCAUCUCCUGAAUCUGGUCCGAUGACAGAUUUAAGUCAUGUUCAUCGGAGCGAGGGGGAGCGAUCGCCGCGGUCUCAAAUCCAUUGAAGAUCAAGUCUCCACGGAUAUCCGCAACGUAGUUCAAGCUUCCAAAUCUGACCUGGUGGCCAGGGGCGUAACCAUCGAUCUGCUCCAGAUGGCCAAGCGAGUUGGCCCGCAGUACGAAGCCACCGAAUACGAAAAUCUGUCCGGGGAGGAAGGUUUCUCCCUGGGCAGCGUCACUAUGGACGAUCGAAGGGGCCAUUGAACCUUUCGUCGACGGCACAGUGGAACUCUCAAUAAAAGCAUCAAUGUCGGUGUCAAAAUCGGCGGAUCUCGGGUAGGGGGUCCCGAACUGUGCGUCUAGGGUCGAUGGCUACAUGAGACAGGGGACACGAUGUUUACCUUGGUUCGGGCCCUCUCUAUGGAGGUAAUACUCUACUUCCUGCUUGAUUGAUCUUGAUGAAUAUGAGUGUUACAAGAGUUGAUCUACCACGAGAUCGUAAUGGCUAAACCCUAGAAGUCUAGCCUAUAUGACUAUGGUAAUGAGUUUAUGCUUUCCGGACUACACCCUCCGGUUUAUAUAGACACCGGGGGGAUCUAGGGUUACAUAGAGUCAGUUACAUAAGAAGGAAUCUUCAUAGUUGAUCGCCAAGCUUGCCUUCCACGCCAAGGAGAGUCCAAUCCGGACACGGGUACAGUCUUCGGCCUUCAUGUCUUCACAGCCCAUCAGUUCGACCCAUGGAUAACAGACCGGACGCCCGAGGACCCCUUAGUCCAGGACUCCCUCAGCCACCCGUUACCGUUCUGCGAGCGAAACAAACACACAAAAGAGAAGUUUAUUUUGAAAAUUAGAGAUGGCACAUGCAAAUUUUCUUAGAACGGCAAAAGAAUACCGCAUAUAGGUAGAUAUAGUGGACUCAUGUGGCAAAACUGGCUUAAAGGAUUUUUGGAUGCACAAGUAGAAGUCAUACUUAGUGCAAAAUGAAGGCUAGCAAAAAGAUUGAGAAGCGACCAACAAGAAACGAAUAAUCUCAUAAGCAAGCAUUAGCAUAAUUAACACCGAAUAAUGCACCACAAGUAGGAUAUAAUUUUCAUUGCAUGAUUAUUGACUUUCGUGCAUGCAUAGGGAAUCACAAACCUUAACACCAAUAUUCUUACUAGAGCACAAUUACUUAUCAACAUAACUCACAUAUCACAUCAUCAUAUCUCAAAACUAUUACUAAGAAUCAAGUUUAUUUUGUCCAAUGAUCUUCAUGACAUUUUUUCCUUUUUCUUUAUCCUUCUUGGAUAUCUAUCACUUUGGGACUAAUUUUCAUGUGUUGCUUUUCAUAAGCUCAAACAAGUAUAAGUGAAGAUCAUGAGCAUAACAAAUUUUCUUUCUCUCAAAAUAAUUUAAGUGAAGCAAGAGAAUUUCUUCAAAAUUUUACUAACUCUCAAAUAAAUCUAAGUGAAGAAAGAGAGCAUUUCUUCAAAAAUACUAAGCACACCGUGCUCAAAAAGAUAUAAGUGAAGCACUAGAGCAAGUCCUAGCUCAUAAAAGAUUUAAGUGAAGCACGGAGAGCAAUUCUAACAAGUCAUGAAAUAAUUUUGGCUCUCUCAAAUAGGUGUGUCCAGCAAGGAUUGAUGACUUAAAACACAAAAUAAAACAAGCAAAGACAUAUAUCAUACAAGACGCUCCAAGCAAAACACAUAUCAUGUGACGAAUAAAAAUAUAGUCUCGAGUAAAAUACCGAUAGUUGUUAGAAGAAAGAGGGGAUGCCACUCGGGGGCAUCCCCAAGAUUAGUUGGUUGCCCAUUAUUGGAUAAUAUCUUGGGAUGCCGGGGCAUCCCCAAGCUUAGGCUCUUCUAUCCGUCUUUCAUCCAUCGUAAGAUAACCCAAAACUUGAAAACUUCAAUCACACAAAACUCAACAAAACCUUUGUGAGAUCCGUUAGUAAAAGAAAGCAAACCACUACUAUAAGUGUUGUAUCAAACCAAUUCAUAUUUUGUUUUUGUAUUAUAUCUACUGUAUUCCAAAUUUUCUAUGGCAAAAACUCAUCAAAGAAAACCAUAGAUCCGUCAAAAUAAGCACACAACACAAAGAAAACAGAAUCUGUCAAAACAGAACAGUCUGUACUAAUCUGACUUUUGCGAAUACUUCUGGAACUCCAAAAAUUCUACCAAAUUAGGUAACCAGGGUAAUUUGUAUAUUAAUCUUCUUCAAAAAGAAUCAGGGCAAAAUAUCUUUUCUGUGAUUUAUGAAAAUUAUUUUCGUAAGCACAAAGUUUCUGUCUUUUUCAGCAAGAUCAAACAACUAUCACCCAAGAAGAUCCUAAAGGCUUUAGUUGGCACAAACACUGAUUAAAACACAAAAAACACAAUCAUACCAGUAGAAUAAUUGUGCAAACACACAAAAACCAAAAGUAAAAAGAAAAAAUAAAUUGUAUUCAUUGGGUUGCCUCCCAACAAGCGCUAUAGUUUUACGCCCUUAGCUAGGCGUAAGGCAAGGAUCUAAGUUUUGUCAUCUUUGGUUCGAGAUCCAUAAGAUACCCUCAUGAUUGAUUCAUAAGGUGGCCUAAUUUUUGUUCUAGGAAAGUGUUCCAUACCCUUCCUCAAAGGAAAUUGGAACUUGAUAUUGCCUUCUUUCAUAUCAAUCACGGCACUGAUAGUGCGUAAAAACGGUCUACCAAGAAAAAUUGGACAAGACGGAUUGCAAUCAAUAUCAAGAACAAUAAAAUCUAUGGGCACAUAGUUCCUAUUUGCAAGAAUAAGAACAUCAUUAAUUCUUCCCAUAGGCUUUUUAAUAGUAGAAUCCUCCAAGUGCAAAUUCAAGGAACAUUCUUCAAGAUUGGUAAGACCAAGCACAUCACAUAAAGAUUUCGGAAUUGUAGAAACACUAGCACCCAAGUCACACAAAGCAAAACACUCAUAAUUUUUAAUCUUGACUUUGAUAGUAGGUUCCCAUUCAUCAUGCAAUUUUCUAGGAAUUGAAACUUCUAAUUCCAAUUUUUCUUCCAAAGCUUUCAUCAUAGCAUCAACAAUAUGUUUAGUAAAAGCUUUGUUUUGUUCAUAAGCAUGGGGUGGAUUUAGCAUGGAUUGCAACAAAGAAAUACAAUCAAUCAAAGAUCAACUAUCUUAAAGUAUUUGUAAUCCAAAUGAGUGGGUGCAUCACUAACUAAAGUUUUGACCUCUCCAAACCCACUUUUAUCAAUUUUCUCAACAAGAUUUUCACCCUCCGAAAUAUUGGGACGCCUUCUACCUAAAGUUGACUCUUCUCCAGUCCCUUUUUCAUCAAUCUUAUCUUUACUAAACAGAGAAUAAAUAGAGGAAACACCAAUCAUUUUAAGAUCUUCAUAAUUUUUGCAAGAAUAAUCACUAGAAAAAGCUUUCUCUAAAAAUUCUCUUUUAGCUCUAAGCAUAGCAGUUCUUUUCUUACUUUCAUCCAUAGAAACAUAAAGAGCUUUAAUGUAUUCAUCAACUUUAGGCACAAAAAUUUUCAUUUUGAGAUUUUCCACAUCAUGAGCAAUUCUAUCAACACUUCUAGACAAAUCAUUAAUCUUAUUCAACUUUUCUUCUAUGGAAGUGUUGAAAACUUUUUGCGUGUUGAUAAAUUAUUUAAUAUUAUUCUCAAGAUCAGAGGUAUUCCUAUUAUUAUUGUAAGAUUCAUUUCCAUAGGAAUUACCAUAAUUAUUAGAGGAAUUACUAGGAAAAUGCCUAGGAUUAAAAUUUCCUCUAUAAGCAUUGUUGUUGAAAUUAUUGCAAGAAAUAAAAUUCACAUCAAUGGCAUCACUAUUUUGCUCAAUCAAAGUAGACGAAGGCAUAUCAUUAAAAUAAAUAGGAGCACUUUUACUAGCAACCAAUUUCAUAAGAGCAUCAACUUUAUCACUCAAAGAAGAAAUUUCUUCAGCCGAGUUAACCUUUUUUACUAGUAGGAGCUCUUUCGGUAUGCCAUUGUGAAUAUUUUGCCAUGAUAUUAUCAAGCAAUUUGGUGGCUUCACCCAAAGUAAUUUCCAUAAAAGUACCACCCGCGGCGGAAUCUAAAAGAUUAUGAGAAACGAAAUUCAACCCCGCAUAAAAAUUUUGUAUGAUCAUCCAAAGAUAUAACCCAUGAGUUGGGCAAUUCCUUAGCAUCAUUUUCAUCCUUUCCCAAGAUUGUGCAACAUCAAGUUGAUUGAAAUUCAUGAUCUGGGUUCUAAGGGAAAUAAUUUUUGCGGGAGAAAUACUUAGUGAUAAAAGCAUCUUUGCACUUAUUCCAAGAAUCGAUACUAUUACGAGGCAAAGAAGAGAACCGAACUUUUGCAGAAUCACGCAAAGAAAAUAGAAAUAAUUUCAUCUUGACCACAUCAUGGUCCACAUAUUUUUUCUUUUGCAUAUUGCAUAAUUCCACGAAGGUAUUAAGAUGGGAUGCGGAUCCUCAUUAGGAGUACCGGAAAAUUGGACUUUCAUAACAAGAUUCAGCAAAGCAGUAUUAAUAUCACAAGUCUCCGCACUAGUAGCGGGAGAAGCAAGCGGAGUGCCAAUAAAAUCAUUGUUGUUGGUAUUUGAGAAAUCACAUAACUUGGUGUUCUCUUGAGUCAUGAUGACUACACAACAAGAUUGCACUCAAAAACAGAUCCUGCAAGAAAACGGCGAACGGAAAAAGAGAGGCGAAUAAAACAGCAAAUUUUUGAGAAGUGGGGGAGAGGAAAAUGGAAAAUAAUGUAAAUUGCGAGGAGAUGAUAUUUGUGAUUAGGAACCUGGUUAUGUUGAAGAUCCUCCCCGGCAACGGCGCCAGAAAUUCCUUUUGAUUGCUCUCUGACUAUAGCGCCAGAAAAGCUCCUGUCUGCUAGGAAUACGUCGGUAUUUCCCCAAAGAGGAAGGGAUGAUGCAGCACAACGAUGGUAGGUAUUUCCCUCAGUGAAGAAACCAAGGUUAUCGAACCAGUAGGAGAACCAAGCAACACAACGUAAACAUCACCUGCACAGAAAUAACAACACCUCGCAACCUCACGUGUUAAAGGGGUUGUCAAUCCCUUUCGGGUAACGAUGCCAGAAAUUUGUAGUAGAUUGAAAUAAUAGGCCGCAAAUAAAAUAAAGUGCAGCAAAGUAUUUUUGUAUUUUUGGUUUAAUAGAUUUGAAUAAAAAUGCAAAGGAAAAGUAGAUCGCAAGCAAAUAGAUGAGAAAGAAGACCCCGGGGCCGUAGGUCUCACUAGUGGCUUCUCUCGAGAAAAAUAGCAAACGGUGGGUAAACAAAUUACUGUUGGGCAAUUGAUAGAACUUCAAAUAAUUAUGAUGAUAUCCGGGCAAUGAUCAUUACAUAGGCAUCACGUCCAAGAUUAGUAGACCGACUCCUGCCUGCAUCUACUACUAUUACUCCACACAUCGACCGCUAUCCAGCAUGCAUCUAGUGUAUUAAGUUCAUGGAAAAACGAAGUAAUGCAAUAAGAACGAUGACAUGAUGUAGACAAGAUCCGUUUAUCUAUGCAUAGAUAUAGAUCCCAUCUUUUUAUCCUUAGUAGCAACGAUACAUACGUGUCGUUUCCCUUUCUAUCACUGGGAUCAAGCACCGUAACAUCAAACCCACUACCGGGCACCUCUUCCCAUUGCAAGAUAAAUAGAUCAAGUUGGCCAAACAAAACCAAAAUAUCGGAGAAGAAAUACGAAGCUAUAAGAGAUCAUGCAUAUAAGAGAUCAAAGAAACACAAAUAACUUUCAUGGAUAUAAAAAGAUAUAACUGAUCAUAAACUCGAAGUUCAUCAGAUCCCAACAAACACACCGCAAAAAGAGUUACAUCAUAUGGAUCUCCAAGAGGCCAUUGUAUUGAGAAUUCAGCGAGAGAGAGAGAGAAAGCCAUCUAGCUACUAACUACGGACCCGAAGGUCUACAAAGAACUACUCACGCAUCAUCAGAGAGGCACCAAUGGAGGUGGUGAACCCCAUCCAAGAUGGUGUCUAGAUUGGAUCUGGUGCUUCUGGACUCUGCGGCGGCUGGAUGUAUAUUUCGUCGACUCCCCUAGGGUUUCUGGAUUUUUGGGGUAUUUAUAGAGCAAAGAGGCGGUCCGGGGGGCACCUGAGGUGGGCACAACCCACCAGGGCGCGCCUGGGCCUCCUGGCGCGCCCUGGGGGGUUGUCCCCUCCUCGGGACUCCCCCCCCAGGUGCAACCAGGGCCCGUUGUGUUCCUUCUGGCCCGUAAAAAAUCAUCGUGGAGUUUCAUGGCAUUUGGACUCCAUCUGAUAUUGAUUUCCUGCGAUGUAAAAAACAUGGAAAAAACAACAACUGGCACUUGGCACUAUGUCAAUAGGUUAGUACCAAAAAAUGAUAUAAAAUGAUUAUAAAGCAUCCAAGAUUGAUAAUAAAACAAUAUGGAACAAUCAAAAUUUAUAGAUAUGUUGGAGACGUAUCAGGGCGCCUCCGCCUCCGGGUCUGCGGAGGCCGCCCUCUUCUUCCCCUUGGGAGGAGGGUUAUCUUCUUCCUCCUCGUCUUCGUCCCCCUCAUGGGAGGAGAGAGCCUCUGUCCCUCUGGACACUGCAUCUGAAGUACCUUUAUUGCGAGGGCCACUUUCGGCCCCCUUGCCUUUCUUCUUCUCGUCCUUCUUCGCCGGCGCCUGGUAUGGCGUCGGAACCAGCAUCUUCAUUAGCAGAGGAUUGGCUGGGUCCUCAGGGAGUGGGGCCGGACACCUGAUUCGCUCCACCUUUUUCGUCCAACCCUGUUUGAAGGAGGAAUUUCUCAAUAUCUGCCCCAUUUUUGUUCUUGAACCAAGCUAUGUUCGGAAGUUUAAUACUUAUCGGGGUGGCCGGGUGGUUGCAGUCGAGGCCAAUGUCCUCGGACAUCUCCGGACACAAUUUCUGAGUCUUGAAGAGCAAUUUCCAGAUCUCUUUGUGUGUCGUGCCGAAGAAAUGCUGCAGGGUCCGCGGCCCUUCGGGAUUAAACUCCCACAUUCUGAGAGGUCGUCGCUGGCAUGGAAGGGUUCGACGGACUAGCAUCACCUGGAUUACAUCCGUAAUGCUGGUGUUCUUUUCUAUGAUACUCUUGAUGCACUUUUGCAGCAUCGGCACCUCGUCAGGCGACCCCCAGUCCAGACCUUUGUUCAUCCACGACGCGAGCCGCAGCGGGGGUCCGGAUCUGAAUGUGGGAGCGGCCGCCCGAUGUAGAACCACUCCUGCUGCCAUGUCUUGACGGUCUCCACGAAGGCCCCUUUGGGCCAGGUGACCUUGGGGAGCUUGCUCACCAUGGCGCCGCCACAAUCUGUGUGCUGCCCCUCGACCACCUUCGGCUUCACAUUAAAGACCUUGAGCUACAGGCCGAAGUGUGGGGGGAUGCGGAGGAAUGCCUCACACACGACGAUAAACGCCGAGAUGUGAAGGAAGGAGUUUGGGGCUAGAUCAUGAAAAUCUAUCCCGUAAUAAAACAUAAGGCCGCGAACAAAGGGAUGGAGGCUAAACCCUAACCCGCGGAGAAAGUGAGGUAUGAACAUGGCCCUCUCACCGAGCUUUGGUGUGGGGAUGACUUGCUCUUUUGCAGGGAGCCUGUGUUUGAUUUCCGUGGUCAGGUACCUCGCUUCCCGAAGCUCUUUGAUGUUCUCCUCCAUCACGGAGAAGGCCAUCCACUUGCCUUGAGCACCGGAUCCAGACAUUGCUGGAAGGAUUGGUGGCGGUGGGAAAGGUUGAAGCUUGGGCGCUAGAGCUCGAGGAUGGGAAGGCAGAGGAGGGAAGAGGGCUUGGGGUGAGAGGUUGGAUCUUUAUCCGUUUAUAUAGGCCGUGAAUAUCAAGUGCCCCCCCUCAAGUAUUAAAACUCGCCUGUUCCCAAAGGGUCGUGCGAAUGGCACAAUUGGAUUACCCAAGCUCGUGUUGAUGAGAAUCCCGCAAUAAGGGGACACGAUCUCUGCUUUGACAAGACGUGUCAAUAGAGGCGGUGCCUCGAAACCCGGGACGGGAGGCCAAAAAACGGUUCGAUAUAAUGAUAAGGCCGGAUGCAACGUCUCGCCGAAAAAGCUGUCAGUGGACAUGGAUUAUUUUGUUCAAGUAUUUUGCCCUUAUGGUCUAGGGUUGUAACUAUUUUACGGAGCCGGAUAUAGUUCUCUUGUUCAACUGCUUUAAUGUAUUCGGAGGAGGAAUCCGCCUUGCAAUGCCGAAGGCAAUCUGCGCGCCGGAUACAUCGCCAUUGAAGCCUAGUUCAGGGGCUAUUGAGGGAGUCCUGGAUUAUGGGGUCCUCGGGGAGCCGGCUUGUACUACAUGGGCCGGACUGAUGGGUCAUAAAGAUACGAGACAGAAGACCUUCUCCCGUGUCCGGAUGGGACUCUCCUUUGCGUGGACGGCAAGCUUGGCAUCAGGAUGUAUAGUUUCCUUUCUCUGUAAACCGACUCUGUACAACCCUAGGCCCCUCCGAUAUCUAUAUAAACCGGAGGGGUUUAGUCCGUAGAGACUAAGACAAAUCAUACAUGCUAGAAAUCUAGGGUUUAGCCAUUACGAUCUCGAGGUAGAUCGACUCUUGUAACCCCUAUACUCAUAAAAGUCAAUCAAGCAGGAAGUAGGGUAUUACCUCCAUCAAGAGGGCCCGAACCUGGGUAAACAUCAUGUCCCCUGCCUCCUGUUACCUUCGAUCCUCAGACGCACAGUUCGGGACCCCUACCCGAGAUCGGCCGGUUUUGACACCGACACCCGCUGCUGCCAAGGUGUAGUUAGACAUUGUUCUUCGAGGUGGAUCAAGCUCUUCUGGUCUGUGUGGAUGAUGAACUCGUUGUGCUGUAGACCGCCAUUUGUCGACUGCAACCACAAUAGCCAGGUAUUCUUUCUCAUAGGUGGAGAGUCCUUAGUAACGGGGACUUAAGCUCUUGCUCAUGUAGGCAAUAGGGUGACUAUCUUGCUGAAGUACUGCUCCAAUCCCUCUAUCGCACGCAUCUGUUUCAAUGGUAAAUGGGCGGUUGAAGUUUGGUAGGGCGAGAACCGGCGCCGAAGUGAGUUGCUGCUUCAACAAGGUGAAUGCUUGCGCAGUGUUGUCGGUUCAGACAAAUGGAGUCCCCUUCUUCAACAGGUUGAACAGGGGACGGGUGAUGACACCGAAACCACGGACAAAUCCACGGUAAUAACCCGCAAGGCCCAGGAAACAACGCACCUCCUUGGCAUCCUGGGGCACGGGCCAUGCUUAAACUGCUUGUAUCUUGGUCGGGUCGGUGGCUACCCCCUUGUCGUUGAUCACGUGCCUGAGGUAUGAGAGUUGCCUCUAUCCAAACUCGCACUUUGCUAGCUUCACCUUCCAUUGGUCACGACGCAGCAAAGCCAACACCUUUCGGAGAUGAUCUAGAUGCUCUUUCCACGUUUUGCUGAAGACAAGGAUGUCAUCAAAGAAUAGGAGCACACAGUAACGCAACAGAGGAUGAAAUGUGUCUGUCAUGGCCCCCAAGAAGGUGGGCGCCCCCCACCCCCGCGAGUCCGAAGGACAAAACCUUGAACUCAUAGUGCCCUGUGUGCGUCUGGAAGGCUGUCUUGUACUCUUUACCUUCUACAAGACGAAUCCGCUGAUAACCAGCCCGGAGAUCGAGCUUGGAGAACCAGGCUGCCCCAUGCAGCUCAUCCAACAACUCUUCGAGGAUAGGCACUGGGAAUUUGCUAACACAAGUCAUGGCGUUGAGAUGCCUAUAAUCGAUGCAGAGACGCCAGGUUCCGUCCUUCUUUUUGACCAAAAUGACAGGGGAGGAGAAACUGCUAUGGUUGCGCUGUAUCACUCCAGAAUUCAACAGCUCCUCGACCUGCCACUCUAUCUCCGACUUGAGUUCUGGUUUGUGCCUGUACGGUCGUAUGUUCACCGGUUGAGCGCCUGGCAUGAGAGGAAUCUUAUGGUCGCAGACACGACGCGGUGGCAGCCCCGUAGGUUCACCAAACACAUCCUUGAACUCGUCCAAUACGCACUGCAAGUCUGGUGGAGUGGUGGGGGUGGUGGGGCAGUCCUCCGAUAUUGGGUACAGCAGAACCAUAUGCAGCAGAGAACCUUGACGACACAUGUUCUGGAGCUGGAGGCUGCUGAUCAGAUGACAAUUAGUAGUGUUGGCCUCGUGGCCGAACAGGCGAGCCGGACCCAGCGGAGUUGGAAUUUGGAUGACCUUUUUCUUCCAAUCAACGGUCAUCGGGCUAUGCAGCUCUAGCCAAUCCAUGCCGAGAAUUGCAUCAUAAGCACCCAGCGGGAGGAUCUUCAUGUCUGUGAUGAAUUCUUGCCCUUGAGAUGCCCAUUUGCAGGCCGGCAGUACUGCUGAACAGGUGAGUUCGCCGCCGUCCGCCACAUGGACGCGGCAGGGUUGCUACAGAGGCACGACCCCCGAUAGUUGCUGGGCCAGCUCUUGGUUGAUGAACGAGGUGGAGCUCCCGCUAUCCACCAGCAACAUGACCUCUUGCCUUUGAAUGGAUGCCAGCAGCUGGAAAGCCUGUGGUGAAACGGUGCCGUCGAGAGCCGGCCGGGAUAUGGCCAUCACCAUGUCGCUCGGCGCCGUGCCAUCGCUCGGUGGGGAUGAAGAGUCGAUGCCGAAGAGCUCGAGCAUCUCCUCGACGACGUGCAGCUUGAUACGUCUCCAACGUAUCUAUAAUUUAUGAAGUCUUCAUGCUAUUAUAUUAUCAAUCUUAGAUGUUAUAUGCAUUUAUAUGCUAUUUUAUAUGAUUUUUGGGACUAACCUAUUAACCUAGAGCCCAGUGCCAGUUUCUGUUUUCUCCUUGUUUUUGAGUUUUACAGAAAAGGAAUAUCAAACGGAGUCCAAUUGACAUGCCAAUUUUUGAUGAUUUUUUAUGGACCAAAAGAAGACCCCGGAGUAAAAGAGUUGGGCCAGGAGAGUCCCGGGGCGUCCACGAGGGUGGGGGGCACGCCCACCCCCCAGGCAAGUGGGCCUGCCUCGUGGACACCUCGGGCACCUCCUUGACGUGAGACCGACGCCAAAAAUUCCUAUAAAUACAGAAACCUCGGAAAAUCAACCUAGAUCGGAAGUUCCGCCGCCGUAAGCCUCUAUAGCCACGAGAAAUCAAUCUAGGCCCUCUCCGGCACCCUGCCGGAGGGGGCCAUCAUCACCGGUGGCCAUGGAGGAGGAUCCCGGAGGGGCCAUCAUCACCAUGAAGGCCAAGGACCAGAGGGGGAGGCCAUGGAGGAGGAAGCACAAGGGGGAGAACCUCUCCUCCUCUCUCUUGGUGGCACCGGAGUGCCAUCGAGAGGGGAAUCAUCGCCGCGGUGAUCGUCUUCAUCAACAUCACCACCAUCAUCACCAUCCUCAUCUCUUUUACGCGGUCCACUCUCCCGCACCCCGCUGUAAUCCCUACUUGAACAUGGUUCUUUAUGCCACAUAUUAUGAUCCAAUGAUGUGUUGCCAUCCUAUGAUGUUUUGAGUAGAUAUCUUUUGUCCUUGGGUUGAUUGAUGAUCUAGAUUGGUACGAGUUGUAUGUUUUACUUUGGUGCUGUCCUAUGGUGCCCUCCAUGUCGCGCAAGCGUGAGGGAUUCCCGCU